UACGUAGGGGGCUAGCGUUGUCCGGAUUUAUUGGGCGUAAAGCGCGUGUAGGCGGCCAGAUAGGUCUGCUGUGAAAACUCGAGGCUCAACCUCGAGCUGUCGGCGGAAACCAUCCGGCUAGAGUCCGGAAGAGGAGAGUGGAAUUCCCGGUGUAGCGGUGAAAUGCGCAGAUAUCGGGAAGAACACCCGUGGCGAAGGCGGCUCUCUGGGACGGUACUGACGCUGAGACGCGAAAGCGUGGGGAGCGAACAGGA
rnacentral:rRNA from 1 species